AUGAAACCAAAGAUAGCAGAUUUUGGAAUGGCAAGGAUCUUUGGAGAUAACCAACAAAAUGCAAAUACCCAACAUGUUUCUUGGAAUAUGUGGAAGGAAGGGGACACAGAGAAACUGCCAGACUCGUUGAUCAUGGACACUUGUUCACUAGACGAAGUUUUGCUUUGCAUCCAUGUAGCGUUAUUGUGUGUCCAAGACAACCCGCAUGAUAGGUCCCUCAUGUCAUCAGUUGUCUUCGUCCUAGAGAACGGAAGCACCACACUUCCAGCCCCAGAUCGCCCUGCAUACUUUGUGCGACGGAGCGUUGAAGCGGUGCAAAUUGGAGAUGAUAUUCAGACUCCGUGA
rnacentral:rRNA from 1 species